UCCGGGCUCCGCAGGGCAGGGUGCCGGGUAACGCCCGGUGGGGGUAACCCCGAGGAAAGUGCCACAGAAAACAGACCGCCGGCUGUGCCGGCAAGGGUGAAAACGUGGGGUAAGAGCCCACGGGCGCGAGUAGCAAUACCCGCGUCGGCAAACCCCACCCGGAGCAAGACCAAGCAGGGGGCGGGUGGCCCGCUCGAUGCCCCCGGGUUGGUUGCUCGAGGCCCGCGGCGACGCGAGGCCCAGAUGAAUGGUCGCCACCAGGCAGCGUGCUGCCUGGAACAGAACCCGGCUUACAGGCCACCGUGACCA
rnacentral:RNase_P_RNA from 1 species